AAAUUGAAGAGUUUGAUCAUGGCUCAGAUUGAACGCUGGCGGCAGGCCUAACACAUGCAAGUCGAACGGUAACAGGAAGCAGCUUGCUGCUUCGCUGACGAGUGGCGGACGGGUGAGUAAUGUCUGGGAAACUGCCUGAUGGAGGGGGAUAACUACUGGAAACGGUGGCUAAUACCGCAUAACGUCGCAAGACCAAAGAGGGGGACCUUCGGGCCUCUUGCCAUCAGAUGUGCCCAGAUGGGAUUAGCUUGUUGGUGAGGUAACGGCUCACCAAGGCGACGAUCCCUAGCUGGUCUGAGAGGAUGACCAGCCACACUGGAACUGAGACACGGUCCAGACUCCUACGGGAGGCAGCAGUGGGGAAUAUUGCACAAUGGGCGCAAGCCUGAUGCAGCCAUGCCGCGUGUAUGAAGAAGGCCUUCGGGUUGUAAAGUACUUUCAGCGGGGAGGAAGGUGUUGUGGUUAAUAACCGCAGCAAUUGACGUUACCCGCAGAAGAAGCACCGGCUAACUCCGUGCCAGCAGCCGCGGUAAUACGGAGGGUGCGAGCGUUAAUCGGAAUUACUGGGCGUAAAGCGCACGCAGGCGGUCUGUCAAGUCGGAUGUGAAAUCCCCGGGCUCAACCUGGGAACUGCAUUCGAAACUGGCAGGCUUGAGUCUUGUAGAGGGGGGUAGAAUUCCAGGUGUAGCGGUGAAAUGCGUAGAGAUCUGGAGGAAUACCGGUGGCGAAGGCGGCCCCCUGGACAAAGACUGACGCUCAGGUGCGAAAGCGUGGGGAGCAAACAGGAUUAGAUACCCUGGUAGUCCACGCCGUAAACGAUGUCUACUUGGAGGUUGUGCCCUUGAGGCGUGGCUUCCGGAGCUAACGCGUUAAGUAGACCGCCUGGGGAGUACGGCCGCAAGGUUAAAACUCAAAUGAAUUGACGGGGGCCCGCACAAGCGGUGGAGCAUGUGGUUUAAUUCGAUGCAACGCGAAGAACCUUACCUGGUCUUGACAUCCACGGAAGUUUUCAGAGAUGAGAAUGUGCCUUCGGGAACCGUGAGACAGGUGCUGCAUGGCUGUCGUCAGCUCGUGUUGUGAAAUGUUGGGUUAAGUCCCGCAACGAGCGCAACCCUUAUCCUUUGUUGCCAGCGGUCCGGCCGGGAACUCAAAGGAGACUGCCAGUGAUAAACUGGAGGAAGGUGGGGAUGACGUCAAGUCAUCAUGGCCCUUACGACCAGGGCUACACACGUGCUACAAUGGCGCAUACAAAGAGAAGCGACCUCGCGAGAGCAAGCGGACCUCAUAAAGUGCGUCGUAGUCCGGAUUGGAGUCUGCAACUCGACUCCAUGAAGUCGGAAUCGCUAGUAAUCGUGGAUCAGAAUGCCACGGUGAAUACGUUCCCGGGCCUUGUACACACCGCCCGUCACACCAUGGGAGUGGGUUGCAAAAGAAGUAGGUAGCUUAACCUUCGGGAGGGCGCUUACCACUUUGUGAUUCAUGACUGGGGUGAAGUCGUAACAAGGUAACCGUAGGGGAACCUGCGGUUGGAUCACCUCCUUA
rnacentral:rRNA from 1 species